CUUUCCCGAGGCCACGGCGAGUAGCAUCGAGGGUACAGGAAAG
rfam:Avian nephritis virus 1 genes for structural polyprotein, non-structural polyprotein, complete cds.